UACGAAGGGAGCUAGCGUUGUUCGGAAUCACUGGGCGUAAAGCGCACGUAGGCGGAUGUGUCAGUCAGGGGUGAAAUCCCGGAGCUCAACUUCGGAACUGCCUUUGAUACAGCACGUCUUGAGUCCGAUAGAGGUGGGUGGAAUUCCGAGUGUAGAGGUGAAAUUCGUAGAUAUUCGCAAGAACACCAGUGGCGAAGGCGGCUCACUGGCCCGGUACUGACGCUGAGGUGCGAAAGCGUGGGGAGCAAACAGG
rnacentral:rRNA from 1 species